CACCAGGUGUCACCCAAUGAAUAGCACAGCCAGAGCGGCCCGUGAGUAGGAUGCUUCUAAUCGGGCUCCAAGCACGCCAGCCAGCAGGGGCCCAUCAUGCAGACAGGGAGCUGACAACCCGAUGCCUUGGAAAGCAAGGAGUGCAUUUUUUCCUUCUAAUGAUAACUUCUGGAUCUGAGAAAGACAUCAGCGGUCAAUUCUGCAGGCCAGUAAAUACCCGCUCCUCCUCUUCCCUGGAG
rnacentral:lncRNA from 1 species